GCCACAGCCACAGCCACAGCCACAUCAGAUCCAAGCUGUGUCUGUGACCUACACCACGGUUCACGGCAACACCGGAUCCUUAAUCCACCGAGUGGGGGCAGGGAUCGAACCUGUGUCCUCAUGGAUACUAGUUGGCCUUGUUACCGCUGAGCCGCAGUAGAAACUCUGGACAAGUAACUGCUUCAAAGAGACUUUCUUCUUAGGAUCUCACCUUUGCUGCAAAGAAAAACCCAAACAGGCUUUGUGAUUUUAGCCUGUUGUCCCCCCUCCCAGCAGCCUCUAAAGGGUUUAUUUUUGAGAUUCAUUUUUCCCCGAGUAGGAAUCAUGCCUUAGAAAACAAGUCAUUAUCAUGCGUUUGUGUUUUAAAUGACCUGGUGUUCUCACUCUGCUCCGUUUAUAAUAUCUUCCGUUCAUUCAUUCCACAAACAGAUGCUCUCCGCCAUCUACAGACAGAGAAUCCUGUUGUGCUGGAGCCAGAAGGGCCGGUUUCGUGGGAGAGCUGGAAACGGACCUGGAACCUCAAGGUUGGGAGAGGGGGAACUCGGGUGAGGACCAAGGGCAGGGCAGGUAGAAAGUGGGCCCGGAAAUUAACACGCCCCCUCCGGUCAAUCAACAAGCACUUCCACGUGGUUCAGGCCCCCUGCUCGGCUCUGGCCUGGAGCCGCAAGCAGGUACAGGUGAUUCCAAUAGCGUGAGCGUGGGAGAAACGCGGGCGUCUAAGGGAAGGGCUCUGGCUCGGAGACGAGGCAGGGCUGCCAGGAAGAGAGUGACAUUGCAGCCGAGACGGGAAGAAGGUGUGGGUGAUGGCUUCAAGCAAAGGGAAUGUCCGUUUUGACAUCCCCACGUCAAGGGAGGGGCUGCAGGAACGUCCAUCCCUUUCCCAGCUCCCCCCAGGCCCGCAGGAGGAAGCCUCAGCUGGGAGCCAGCCCAACACCUCUGACACCGGCCGCCCUGCCUUUGGGCGAAGAGGGAGCCGGCCUCGGGCGCGGAGGCUUCCGCAGGCGCCGGUGUCCAGCUGGGAUUUGCUCACACGUCCUUGCACUGGUGUUUAUGGCAGCCCUCCGUUGACGGAGCCGAAGCCACGAAGAUGUUCCGUGUGGUGUUAUUUACAGCAGGAGGGGAGAAUCGGAAAUAACACAGGGGUCGGCAAUGACUGGACUGUUAAAAUAACUCCCACCACUUCCUUCAUUGGCGUGAACACUGAGGACUAUCAGGUCCCAAGAGAACCAAGGUUUUUUCCUCUUGUUGAAAGAAGAAUCCCUCAGCCCCGAAAAUAACGGCCAGCAUAUAAAGGUGUUUGGUAUGUAUUCUGGGGAUGAAUGAAUAAAUAAUGCUGUGAAAUUAAUUUCCA
rnacentral:lncRNA from 1 species